ACGGUAGCACAGAGAGCUUGCUCUCGGGUGACGAGUGGCGGACGGGUGAGUAAUGUCUGGGAAACUGCCCGAUGGAGGGGGAUAACUACUGGAAACGGUAGCUAAUACCGCAUAAUGUCGCAAGACCAAAGAGGGGGACCUUCGGGCCUCUUGCCAUCGGAUGUGCCCAGAUGGGAUUAGCUAGUAGGCGGGGUAACGGCCCACCUAGGCGACGAUCUCUAGCUGGUCUGAGAGGAUGACCAGCCACACUGGAACUGAGACACGGUCCAGACUCCUACGGGAGGCAGCAGUGGGGAAUAUUGCACAAUGGGCGCAAGCCUGAUGCAGCCAUGCCGCGUGUAUGAAGAAGGCCUUCGGGUUGUAAAGUACUUUCAGCGGGGAGGAAGGGAGUAAAGUUAAUACCUUUGCUCAUUGACGUUACCCGCAGAAGAAGCACCGGCUAACUCCGUGCCAGCAGCCGCGGUAAUACGGAGGGUGCAAGCGUUAAUCGGAAUUACUGGGCGUAAAGCGCACGCAGGCGGUUUGUUAAGUCAGAUGUGAAAUCCCCGGGCUCAACCUGGGAACUGCAUCUGAUACUGGCAAGCUUGAGUCUCGUAGAGGGGGGUAGAAUUCCAGGUGUAGCG
rnacentral:rRNA from 1 species